rnacentral:rRNA from 1 species
CCUACGGGGGGCAGCAGUGGGGAAUAUUGGGCAAUGGGCGCAAGCCUGACCCAGCAACGCCGCGUGAAGGAAGAAGGCUUUCGGGUUGUAAACUUCUUUUUUCAGGGACGUAGCAAGUGACGGUACCUGAGGAAUAAGCCACGGCUAACUAAGUGCCAGCAGCCGCGGUAAUACGUAGGUGGCAAGCGUUAUCCGGAUUUACUGGGUGUAAAGGGCGUGUAGGCGGGGACGUAAGUCAGAUGUGAAAACCACGGGCUCAACCUGUGGCCUGCAUUUGAAACUGUGUUGCUUGAGUACUGGGGAGGCAGACGGAAUUCCUGGUGUAGCGGUGAAAUGCGUAGAGAUUAGGAGGAACACCAGUGGCGAAGGCAGUCUGCUGGACAGCAACUGACGCUGAGGCGCGAAAGCGUGGGGAGCAAACAGGAUUAGAUACCCGAGUAGUC